rnacentral:rRNA from 1 species
UACGGGGGGGGUGAAGCGUUGUUCGGAAUUACUGGGCGUAAAGGGCUCGUAGGCGGCCAACUAAGUCGGACGUGAAAUCCCUCAGCUUAACUGGGGAACUGCGUCCGAUACUGGAUGGCUUGGAUUCGGGAGAGGAAUGCGGAAUUCCAGGUGUAGCGGUGAAAUGCAUAGAUACAAUCAAGAACACCGAUUGCGUAGGCAGCUAACUAGGCUGUAACUGACGCUGAGGCACGAAAGCGUGGGGAGCGAACAGG